CUGGCACAAUGAUGAACACAUAGUUCAGCUGAUUAACACUGAUGAAUUAACUUGUCUUUCGCUCCUAUCUGAUGUGUCAG
rfam:Xenopus laevis strain J chromosome 4S, whole genome shotgun sequence.